ACUUCAUAAAGGCAAAGCUGUGGUAACGCAGUGACGCAAAGCUAUAGGGGCCGAGAACGAGCCAGCCAGUUGCAAGA
rnacentral:ncRNA from 1 species